AAAGUCUAACCUGCCCGAUGAAGGAAUUUGAAUGGCUGCGGUAUUAUGACCGUACAAAGGUAGCAUAAUAAUUAGUUUUUUAAUUGAAAACUGGUAUGAAUGGUUGAACGAGAAAAAAGCUGUCUCAAUUAUAAUUUUAAUUAGAAUUUUAUUUUUAAGUUAAAAAGCUUAAAUAAGUUUAAAAGACGAGAAGACCCUAUAGAGUUUUAUAUUUAAAGUUAUUUUAAAUUUUUAGUAUAAUUAUAUUUAUAAUAAUUUUUAAUAUUUAAUUGGGGUGAUUGAAAAAUUUAAUGAACUUUUUUAUUUUAAAAUCAUUGAUAUAUGUAUUUAUGAUCCA
rnacentral:rRNA from 1 species